GUUUACGAUCGGUAGUCUUGUCAGUGAUGGGUAUUGGGUAUUCAAGCUAUUGAAUUGAUCAUCCGUUUGGACGAUGGAAUCUUGGCCGAAAACUAAUUAAUUUGCUCCAGUUUUCAACAGGAUAGGUUAAUAGAGAAGACAGAAAUGAACGUAUAUUUGGUGUCAGACUAGUGUGGCCUUAGUGAAACCAGCGAAACAUAUUAUAGUCGGAGGUUUUGUGUUUCCUGGAUUACCACGGAGUAUCAACCCACGGACGGAAAUUGACUAGCACUGUUGGUUCAGGAGGUUUGCAGUUCCUGGACUGGAAUAAAUGAAGUAUCGGCGGACGGACAGACGGAGAUUUGGAACUUGUGGUGGUUCUGGCCUUUAACUUUGUCUGCUGUCUUGGAUUCCCCUGAAGUUUCUCAAAAAUGUAUUUGAGAUUAAUAACGAAGUAUGCUCUUAAAACAAUUGUAAAUUAUCUUUAUCCUCAAUGUUUUGUACGUUUGAAAGUUAAGACUUGAUAAAUAAAUAUAUAAGCAAACUAAGUCUGUGACUGUUCUCUUUGGAAAUGCCAAGAAAGGGC